CCGGAGGUAGGGUCCAGC
rnacentral:snRNA from 1 species